AGGUUUAAGUUUUUUGGCGUUAGGGUUAAAAUCACUGUCCAAAACCUUUGUAGGAACUCUUUUCCAACCUUUUGGAGUUAGUUAGACCAAAAAAAAAAAGAAAAAUGAAAAAAAAAUAUUUGGGGUGUUCAGGCUUCCUAAAAGUAAUACCCGGGUAUUAGGUUAUGGGUCUAUGGUAAGGUUUAACGUUUUGGCGUUAGGUUUAAAAUCACUGUCCAAAACCUUUGUAGGAACUCUUUUCCAACCUUUUGGAUUUAGUUAGACCAAAAAAAAAUGAAAAAUUAAAAAAAAUAUAUUUGGGGUUUUCAGGCUUCCUAAAAGUAAUACCCGGGUAUUAGGUUAUGGGGCUAUGGUAAGGUUUAAGGUUUUUGGCGUUAGGGUUAAAAUCACCGUCCAAAACCUUUGUAGGAACUCUUUUUCAACCUUUUGGAGUUAGUUAGACCAAAAAAAAAAUGAAAAAUGAAAAAAAAAAUAUUUGGGGUUUACGGGCUUCCUGAUUGUAAUACCCGGGUAUUAGAUUUUAAGGCCAGGGAAAGGUUUAAGUUUUUUGGCGUUAGGGUUAAAAUCACUGUCCAAAACCUUUGUAGGAACUCUUUUCCAACCUUUUGGAGUUAGUUAGACCAAAAAAUAUGAAAAAAGAAAAAAAUAUUAUUGGGGGUUUUCGGGCUCCCUGAAAGUAAUACCCGGGUAUUAGGUUUUGGGGCUAUGGUAAGGUUUAAGUUUUUUGGCGU